rnacentral:tmRNA from 1 species
GGGGUCGACUUAGUUUCGACAGGGUCGAUCGCCUGGCAGUGACUGCAGCUGGCUGGUAACCAUAAAUACCAAAACAAAAUAACUGACAACAGUUAUAUGCGUGCUCCAAGAGCACAAUCCCUCUGCUUAGCUUAAGCUACCCGACAUAGGGCCCGACCUUAGAGGCCGGACAGAGCAUCUCCUAGAGUUUUAUUCCUUUCACGUCUAGGUCAGGUGUCAUACCAAAAGGAUAGGAAGACAUAGUUGACUUGCUAAAGUUCACCGAAAUCCAAUAAGUCUCGCGAAGAUAACUACGAUAUGCGAUGCUUCGUUAAAUCUAAAAUAUCGUCUAAGCUGUAGACGUUGCUGUGGGGCCCUCUCUGGACACGAGUGCAAUUCUCGCCGACUCCACCA